rnacentral:rRNA from 1 species
UAGGGAAUCUUCCACAAUGGACGAAAGUCUAAUGGAGCAACGCCGCGUGAGUGAAGAAGGGUUUCGGCUCGUAAAACUCUGUUGUUAAAGGAGAACAUAUCUGAGAGUAACUGUUCAGGUAUUGACGGUAUUUAACCAGAAAGCCACGGCUAACUACGUGCCAG